rnacentral:rRNA from 1 species
UACGAAGGUGGCAAGCGUUGUUCGGAAUCACUGGGCAUAAAGCGCGUGUAGGCGGCUGGGUAAGUCGGGUGUGAAAUCCCUCAGCUCAACUGAGGAACUGCGCCCGAAACUACCUUGCUUGAGGUCUGGAGGGGAGAGUGGAAUUCCCGGUGGAGCGGUGAAAUGCGUAGAUAUCGGGAGGAACGCCGGUGGCGAAAGCGACUCUCUGGACAGAUCCUGACGCUGAGGCGCGAAAGCUAGGGGAGCGAACGGG